AGCAUAGUGGCGCAGAGGAAGCGUGCUGGGCCCAUAACCCAGAGGAUGAUGGAUCAAAACCAUCCUCUGCUA
rfam:Xenopus tropicalis strain Nigerian Chr07_contig_3141, whole genome shotgun sequence.